AUUGAACGCUGGCGGCAGGCCUAACACAUGCAAGUCGAACGAGUGGCGGACGGGUGAGUAAUGUCUGGGAAACUGCCUGAUAGAGGGGGAUAACUACUGGAAACGGUAGCUAAUACCGCAUACUAUCGGAUGUGCCCAGAUGGGAUUAGCUAGUUGGUGGGGUAAAGGCUAACCAAGGCGACGAUCCCUAGCUGGUCUGAGAGGAUGAGCAGCAAGAUUGGAACUGAGACACGGCCCAGACUCCUACGGGAGGCAGCAGUGGGGAAUAUUGCACAAUGGGCGCAAGCCUGAUGCAGCCAUGCCGCGUGUAUGAAGAAGGCCUUCGGGUUGUAAAGUACUUUCAGCGGGGAGGCGUUACCCGCAGAAGAAGCACCGGCUAACUCCGUGCCAGCAGCCGCGGUAAUUC
rnacentral:rRNA from 1 species